UUUUUAGGUGUCCUUAGCUCUGCCAGAAUGCUAAACGAAGACGAAAAUGUGUUGCAAAGACAUCCAAAAGGUUUUAAGGAGAAUGCAACAGGUUCCAGGGCCUCUUACCUGCGUGAUUCAUCAUCCAGGUUUUGCACAAAUUGUCUAAAUCCCUACACACAGAACAUUUAUUGUACCGACUAUAAGCCUUUGAGGUGCAGGACUAGAAUACGCUUGGAGCUUCCUGAUCGGAAUGUUGGCUUCCGACGACCCCUGCACUGAAGAUGGCAUGCAAUCACUUCCUCCUUUGAAGGUCUCUCAAACUGUGAUGCCAGGUCCAUUGGAAUCGGGGUUUCCUUCAGCUUAUCUUCAAAUACCUCAGCAAACACAAGCCUGAUCACAUCAUCCACAUAACUGUACAAAUAUUGCGGUCAAUAAAUCUUUUGUUUUGAUCAUUUAUUUCCCUGCUUCAUACAUUAAGUUUUUAAUUAUGAAUGUAUUUGAAAUAAAACAUUACUGCUUACGGUA